rnacentral:rRNA from 1 species
CGGACGGGUGAGUAACGCGUGGGUAACCUGCCUCACACUGGGGGACAACAGCUGGAAACGGCUGCUAAUACCGCAUAAGCGCACAGCUUCGCAUGAAGCAGUGUGAAAAACUCCGGUGGUGUGAGAUGGACCCGCGUCUGAUUAGCUAGUUGGUAAGGUAACGGCUUACCAAGGCGACGAUCAGUAGCCGACCUGAGAGGGUGACCGGCCACAUUGGGACUGAGACACGGCCCAAACUCCUACGGGAGGCAGCAUG